rnacentral:tRNA from 1 species
AUUUAUAUAGUUUAAAAAAAACCUUACAUUUUCAUUGUAAAAUUAGAAACACAUUCUUAUAAAUA